rnacentral:rRNA from 1 species
AGUGAACGCUGGCGGUAGGCCUAACACAUGCCAGUCGAACGGCAGCACAGUAAGAGCUUGCUCUUACGGGUGGCGAGUGGCGGACGGGUGAGGAAUACAUCGGAAUCUACUUUUUCGUGGGGGAUAACGUAGGGAAACUUACGCUAAUACCGCAUACGACCUACGGGUGAAAGCAGGGGAUCUUCGGACCUUGCGCGAUUGAAUGAGCCGAUGUCGGAUUAGCUAGUUGGCGGGGUAAAGGCCCACCAAGGCGACGAUCCGUAGCUGGUCUGAGAGGAUGAUCAGCCACACUGGAACUGAGACACGGUCCAGACUCCUACGGGAGGCAGCAGUGGGGAAUAUUGGACAAUGGGCGCAAGCCUGAUCCAGCCAUACCGCGUGGGUGAAGAAAGCCUUCGGGUUGUAAAGCCCUUUUGUUGGGAAAGAAAAGCAGCAGGUUAAUACCCCGCUGUUCUGACGGUACCCAAAGAAUAAGCACCGGCUAACUUCGUG